rnacentral:lncRNA from 1 species
GAAGAUAUUUUUCAUAGCUAUUCAAUGCUCUUCGCUUGGAUUCCACUGAUAUCUGUGAAGAAAAUUUAGGUGAUCAGCAUGCUAAAAUUUUCAUCUUAUUAAAAUAGGGCAGAGGAAGCAUAAAUUAAAAUAAUUUUAAUUUAUGGCAUGCAAAGGAUCUAAUCCUAAAAUCACUUAAGGAUCUAGUUUAUACAUGUAUAAAAAAUAUUUAGAUAUGAAAAAUAGAAAUAAAAAGGAAGG